CACACUGGCAUUCCUUCCUCCCUCAGUCACGUGAGUCAUGCGUGGAAAAUAAGUGACCUGGGUCAAAUCGGGUUUGGAUCCAAAAUGGGUCCGCUAAACUCAGGUUCCUGUUGUGUCUUUGCAGUCAUCCAGCAUCCGAUUUCUUUCUUCAAUACAUACUACCAUUUCCAUCAGUUCCCGCAGAGUCACAGCCUUCGUCACCUUCAGCUCAGCCUUAAUCUGUCUUAAGUCCAGACCUGAAUGCACCGAUCAAACACUCCUUGGAAGCUUCCUUUAAUGGUGCCGAUAGUAGUUUAAAUUCCUCUACAAAUUCUAGCAUAGACUUCUCUUAGCUGUAAAUAGUCGCUCAUACUCACCACCGGGUUGUGAAGAGUGGAAUCGCUGCAGUAACUCCCUUUUAAAUUCCGACCAGUUACUCAAUGGUACUUGCGUAUCAAGCCACUGGUACCAAUUCACUGCUUUUCCCUCCAGACAUACUAUUGCUGCUUCGAGCUUCUCAUGUUCAGCUAUGAAGUUGACGUGAAAGUACUGUUCCACUCUGAAAAGCCACCCGAGAGGAUCCUCGCCUGAGAAUACAGGUAGUUCCAGUUUCCGAAACUUACCUCCUUCUGUCCCACCCCCUGUAUUAUUCUUAAAAGAUUCUGCAUGAUGAGUGUCUUCUUGUUCUUCCUCACGUGGCCUUACCACCUUCUUUUCUAGUUGUGCCGGAGUAUCACUAAUAGUCUUCAAGGUUCCCUUGAUGUCACUUACAUCCCUAUUCAAUACCCAGACUGCCUCCUUUAACUCUUGUACUUCUCACUCAGAAUAUUGCACUUCAUCCGCCAUAACUUCUCUUAACUACCCAGAAUUCGUACUGCUCUGAUACCAAUUAAUAAGACCCAAACCAAUAUUUCCACAUAAACAGCAACAAAGAUAGUAAUAACAAUAAAUGAAGGGAAAAUGCUGAGGUUUUGAUAUUAAUAAAUUGAGAGAAACCGAAUAAGAGUUACAAGUCUUCCUCUGAUUCUGGCCAAAACCCUAUCUCCCCUGAAUGAUCAAAAAAGUAAUAACAUUACAAGCUCAAACCUCACAAGAGGGUUCACUCCUUUUGGCAUUCGAGAGGCCAGUCUCUCCUCUCCAUUCUCUUACAAAAGAUACCCCCUCAAUACAAGCAAAAAGAUAAAAUAUAACCACAGCAUGGAUGGCAUGGCUUUCCCCUUAGCCCAUACCUCCCAAAAGAUCUUAAUUAUGGCAAAAGAUCACAUGCUACUCUUCCUUACGGCUAGAGACCGAAGGAUAAACCUCUGGACCAGUCAUUAUUAUUCUACUAGAAUCAUUCUUCCCCUUUGACUUCCUUUGAUAUGUCUUAGUAAAAUGAUGAGGGGCUCUAUCAAAAUACUAUUUCCUUCCUUAACAAUUUGUUCUUUACUUUGAUCAUCAAGUGCUUAAGUUUAUCAACUCUCAGCGUCACUUAAAUGCUAAACAUGCUAAAUGGGUUGAGUAUAUUCAGGGAUUCACUUUCAUAGUCAAGCAUCAUUCAAGAACAAAAAACAAAGUGGAUGACGUUUUGAGCUGACGGAUCAACUUGUUGCACACUAUGAGCGUUAGUGUUGUUGGCUUUUAAAACCUAAAGGAAGACUAUGCUUCAUGCCUAAAUUUUGGGAUAAUAUAUCAAGAAGUUAAAAUUUGGUAACCGUUAUGAGCAUUUUGAUUUCAUCCUUAAAGACAUUCAUCUUUGUCAUGGAAGCAAACUAUGCAUCCCACGUGCAUCUAUACGCGAUUGCGAUUUUCUUAUAUAGGAGUUAUAUGCUAGAGGUUUAGCCAUUCAUUUUGGUAUUAAUAAGACAAUAGCAUUAGUCGAAGAGAAGACAGGUUCUAUUGGCCUUCACUCAAGUAUGAUGUGGCUCGCGUAGUGUCUCAAUGUCAAACUUGUCAAACUUUUAAAGCUAGACAGUUGAAUACCGGUUGGUUUACUCCUUUGCGAAUCCUUGAGGCAACUUGGAAAGACUUAAGUAUGGAUUUUGUCUUGGUAUUGCCUCGAACAGCUAAAGGUCAUGACUCUAUAUGGUUGUUGUGGAUAGAUUUUCAAAAAUAGCUCACUUUAUUUCUUGUAGCAAAACUACAGAUGCUUCACAUUUGGUGAAGUUGUUCUUUAAGGAGAUUGUGCACUUGCAUAGGUUACUUGCUACUAUCUUUUCUGAUAGGGAUGCUAAGUUUCUUAGUUACUUUUGGAAGAUCCUCUGGAAACUUUUUGGUACCCAGUUAAAGUUCUCUUCUGCUUUCUACCCCCAAAUUGAUGGGCAAAUUGAAGUUACUGGUCAAAGUCUGUGUAAUUUGCUUUGGCAUUUAAUUGGAGAUUUGGUUUUACUCACUGUUGAGUUUGCAUAUAAUGAUUCUGUAAAUAGGUCCACAGGAAUGAGAUCCUUCCAAAUUUGGUGAAGUUGUUCUUUAAGGAGAUUGUGCACUUGCAUAGGUUGCUUGCUACUAUCUUUUCUGAUAAGGAUGCUAAGUUUCUUAGUUACUUUUGGAAGAUCCUCUGGAAACUUUUUGGUACCCAGUUAAAGUUCUCUUUUGCUUUCUACCCCUAAAUUGAUGGGCAAACUGAAGUUACUGGUCAAAGUCUGGGUAAUUUGCUUUGGCAUUUAAUUGGAGAUUUGGUUUUACUCACUGUUGAGUUUGCAUAUAAUAAUUCUGUAAAUAGGUCCACAGGAAUGAGAUCCUUCCAAAUUGUUCAAGGUUUUAAUUCUAAAUAGCCUAUUGACCUUAUGCCAAUCCCGUUGACAUUUCGCAUCUUUAAAUUUGCCAAAUCCUUUGCCAAUCACCUUCAUGAAUUACGUGCUAACAUUAAGCGUAAAUUAGCAAUGAGCAAUGAUCAAUAUAAAUUAUUUACCAAUAGUCAUCGCCGAUUUUAAAGCUUUACUAUAAGUGACUAUGUUAUGGCUCAAAUUCGUCUAGAAUGUUACCCUCAACAUGCUUUUAAAAGGUUGCAUGCUCGAGUUUCUAGACCUUUUCGCAUUGCAAAUCAAUUAAACCCUAAUGUUUAUCUUUUAGAAUUACCUCAUGAUAUGGCCAUAAGUUUAGUUUUUAAUGUGGAGGAUCUUAUGCUUUACUAGGGAACUUUUGAGCCUCUCCCUUUGCUUUUUGAUGAUCUGCAAAUACUUGGCCUCAACUGGUGCCAAUUCUGUCAUUGCUAGCUGUCUCACUAUCAGUUGACAAAAUUGAGACCAUUAUGGAUGAUCAAAUGGUCUUUACCUCUAAGGGGCCCCUUCAUCAUUAUUUGGUUCGUUAGAGAGAUCGUUCGGAUGAAGAUGCCACUUGGAUUUCAGAAGAUGAAUUCCAACAACUUAAUCCUGCCCUAUUGGAAGCCUAUCAACUCUCUACCUCUUCAGAGGAGAGUUCUUUGAGGCAAGGGGGAAUUGAUAGAAAAUGUGGCAAACAUUACUUUAGAAGGAAAUAGUUUAUUAGUUUUUUAUUGCUUUUCAUUAGUUUAUUAGUUUUGUUGCUUUUCAUUUAACUUUUGUAAGUUUCCUUCUUGUGAAGGAAACCAGACAGCAAGUGGGUAGAGAUUUCCUUGUUAGGAAGGAAAUCUCACACUUAUAAAUAGGGUGACUCAUGUAGUCAGAAGGAGAUUUUCAAUGAAUGAAUUCAUUUGAGAAAUUUUGAAAGCUCUCUCCCUCCAAUCUGCGCUCUCUUCCUCUCAGUUCCUCCUCCCUCUUUGUUCUGUCCUUCCUUUUCUCUUCCCCUCUCUCUGUUCUUGUCUCCCUCUCCCAUCUAAGUCUCUGUUUCUGUCCCUACUCUCAUGUCCUUUCUGUCUGAGCUAGUUUGAGUGUGUGCGUGUGUGUUUUGCAUCAGAGAUGUUUUCCAUGCUUAAUGCUGGGUUUUGCCUCAAUCACUACACUUAUUCAUGGAUAGUAGAUGGUUACUGCAAGAAAGACAAUGAAGAGGCUGUUGUUACACUCCCAGAUGAGUUUCUUAGAAAAGGUCUUUGCAUUGAUGUUUCAUAUUCAGGGCAUUAAUAAGAAGUUUAUGUAAGUUAGAAAGGAUACCAUGUGCUCAGAAGUUAUUUGAUCUUAUGGAAGGAAGGGGUAUAUCAGGCAAUUCUUGCUUAUGCGUAUUGGAACAGGGAAUGCAAAGGCUGCAAAUAUAUUCGAAGAGAUGACUAGGAGGAGGUUGAUGAUAACAAUUAAAAUCUAUAAAUCUUUUGGUAAUCCUCUUGAUAGUGAAAACAAAACUUCAUGUUCAUCCUGGAAUUAUGUGGUGGAUAGGGGCCUUAUUUCAAGAAAUAUCAUGAAUAAAGUAAAGAAGAUGGAAUUAUGAUGAUUAACGGUUGUUCACUACAAUUUUCUGUUAUUUUUGAAGCUUUUGUGGUGGAAAAUGAAUUCCUGGCCAUGAUUGCAUUUAUAGCCUUUCUUUCUUCAUAAUAUACCAGAAUAUAGCAGCUAUUGGCUUUGAACAGUUUUAAUUGUUUAUUAACUAAGUAUGAGGAAAUAUAUUUAUACACUAAUGGAUUAAAUUUAAUAUGCUCUUUUGACAUUAAAUCAUUCGGCAUAACUACUUUUCUCUGUAACUUGGGAUUCAUAGCUAGCAGGUUUCUCAAAAUUCUUCGACUCUAGAUAGAUCAAGAAUAUAAGUUAUAGUUUGAUGCUUCCUUGUGUUUUGGCCGCUGAAUAUUGUUGUCUGCUCUUUCAUUCAUUUGCAUAAAAGAAGGAAAAAUUACAUAUAAAACCCAUGGAGGGGACUUAUUUACCACAUGUCCCACAAAUUAAAAAAAAAAAAAAAACAGCCAAGUCUUUUGGGACCUAGUUUUAAUUUGUUUUGGUUGGGAACUGCCCUCUAGAAUUUGGACGAAAGAAUGAAUUUAACGAUAAAAUUUGAAGCUCGUCUCUCCUGAACCCAUUCAACCAUCAAGCCAUAAACUCCCUCUUGUGUCUUUGAAGCUCUGGCACCAUACUCGUGGAAGCUCCCAUCUCCUGGUCAGUCGCAAGUCGCUCUCCUGGUCACUCAUAAGUCGCUCCCAUCUCCUGGUCUCUCAGGUUUUCUUUUAUUUUAAACCCUCUGUCGUGCAACUUGUUGGCAUGCAUUGGUCUUUCAAGUUCUCUCUUUAUUCUUCUUUGUGCUGUUCUAUUCUGAGGAUCCAGUCAAUCAAGGCAGGCUCUGUUCUGUUUCUAUUUCCCCAUUUUGUUUCUGUUUUGAUGAAAUUUUCUAUCAUUUAUAUUCCAACGUAUUCCCUUUUGGUCUUUCUGAUGAUGUAGCUGUUCAAAUUUUUUAGGGAUGUUUUCAACAGUUUUUUUCUUUCUUGUUUUAUAUGUAAGCGUUAACUCUUAGUUUUUAUUCUUUUCGUUUGUGAUUCUAAACAAGAUUUAGUUUUUUUCCUCAAAAUUUCUCGAGUCCUGGCUUGAUAGUGAUAUUGCCUUUAUUCCAUAAAAAAAGUUUUAUGUAUUUUUGUUAAGCCUGAAGCAAAUGACAUAUACGAAUUGAGGAGGAAAAGAUCCCCCAACUUUGCAACGAAAAUGAAAAUCCAAAUGCAGCCUGGUAAAGUGGUACGCUACUGUGAUGUUAUUUUGCAGAAUUAUUCUCCCAAUAAUAUGAAUUGGCGUUUUAGUUUGUGCAGUAUAUGCCUGAUCGUUUUCAGAUUGGAAAGGUUAUUAACCUUGAGCCUGUGAACAUAGUUUUCGUAAUGCGGAGCUGGAGAGGAUUGUUGAUCAGGAUUUGUCACGUUUAUACCCGGAGCAUGGCGCUUAUUUCCAAACACUAGGAUGUCAAAUCUUGUUAAGACGGAUCUUAUUACUCUGGUGUGUCAAGCACCUAUGCAGAGUGUGAAUAUAGACAAGAUUUGGAACUUUGGAUGGGCGAUGAAUAUUUUUCUGAGCGAUAUUGAAGAGUAUGACUGCAAAUUAAGGACAAGCUCAAGUAAAUUCACGUGUUUUUACAAGUUAUCUUCUGUACAAAACGUGAUGUAGUUUGAUCUGAACAUAUGAUUUAUGCAGGUGAUUGACCUUGUUUCUGGCUUAUGUUGUUAUUAGUGUUCUGGAUUUAUGGUUUUCUACUUUUGUAAGUGUUUUGGAUGUCUUUAGUUUUUUGUAUUAUUUUGAGACAAAUUUAGAGAUUGUAAGUUCACAUCAUUGUUUUUCGAGACUAUUCUGGAUAUGGUCUUACAUUAUGAUUUCUCAAAGUUUAUGCAAGUCAUUUCAGUCAUAUGGACA